GCGGCCCAGGCCCGCGCCGGGCUGCCUGCGUUUUGGUUGACUUCUUACAUUUUGAUAUUUACAUCACUUUCCAGCCUCCUAGAGAUCUGGAGGGAGAAGGUCGCUGUAGUUGCUAACACAAAGUCAAAAUCUACCGAUUCCCAACUUGAGGCUGUGACUCCUGCAGGUGUUAUAGGGUCAGAAAAAACAGUCCUGGCCUCAUUUUCCUGAGAAGAAGAAGAAACAUUAUAGGUGGAUGAAGAACUGACACGAGUGCUGCUCUGGCACGGAACAAAAAGUAGAAUUGAUGAGAUAGAAAAAAAAAAACAGGAACACUUUCAGUAUUUAAAUAUGUUUAUCUUAUAUCACCCACCUGAUGUGAUUUUUUACCUUAAAAAAAUUGGUGGCUUUUUGAUUUUUAUUUAAAUGAUUUUUUUUUAUUGGCAGCUGGAGCCCCAACCCUAUGAAGCCAAGUCCAAAGAGGCUUACAGGCAUCAAGUUCAUACACACAACAGCACUGGAUGUGACUGCAGCAUUAGGAACUGUGGUGUGCAAUUAUGAAUUUGCCUUCAUCAGAGGAAUUUAGAUAGUGAGGCUCUGGCUUGCAAGUUCUUUAAUGAGGUUAAUGAGGCUAGCACAUUCUCAAACCGUUUGUGUGAUCCUCCUUCACAUACUGCUGCUGUGUCAGAUCUUCAGAUGAGGAAGACAUUCAGAAGGGGCACACAGGGAGGGAGAGGCUCUGCCACCGAGCAGCAGCCCAGCCUAUCUGCUAUCUGCACACACCCUUGCCUGCAGUCCAGCCAGGAGCUGGCUCCUGCUCCUGGGCCCCUGCAGCUUCUGCCUGAAUCUCGACCUGAGAGGUUGACAUCUGGUACUGCAGGGGUACCGUGGGAGGGCUGCUGGUGUGAGAUGCUGUUCUCACCACAUUCUUCCUGUUGCAUGAUUCUCCCCAUCUAGAGCUAGUGAUUAAGGGGGCAACAGUGCUCAAGAGCAAUAUGUGUUCUCACAAGACAUGCAGAAUUCAUUUAUCUUCAUUUUGUGGAAGUACAAACUUUUCUGUGUCUUUAUAAGAAGCAGUUAUUAAUUAGGCUUGAGGCAGGGAGAGAAGGAGAAUUUAGAGUUUACCCCUGGCCUAUGUAAGAAACUCAUCAGAAGAUCUAAAAUAAGAGGGAUAUCAAGGGGUUUACUCCAAAAUAAUUAUCUUGCCUCAAUAAUGCACACCUAAUUCCACAACAAAAGAACUCUCUUCUCUUUUAUAGAGCACUCACACACCAGCCUCUCCUUGACUAGCUGUUACAAAAUGAAGGAUGCACAGCUGGUUUCCCUGUGUAGGGACAAGCCUCAAAAAUUCCAAUGAUUUUUGAAGGCCAACCCUUCUUCUACCACUAACUUGCUGUGUUACCAUAAGCAAGUCACUUAAUUUCUGUUCUAGUAUUGUCCUUUAAACAAAAAGGGAAAAUUAUACAAUUAUUUACCUCAAAAAAGCAAGGUGAGUGUAAAUUAAUUGAUAUUUAUUUUGCUAUCUGAAGAUCUGGCUUUAUGAAAGGGUAAAUAGUAGGACUGUUUCUGAGUAGAGCCAGUGGGAGCUAUUGGAAGCACAGGGAAAAUCUGACUAAGAACCUGAACCACCCUGAAACUGAGUGCGUAAUUUAUUCAUUGCUGAACAAUGAACAUGUGCAAGUUUGCAUUCAGCACACCCUUCCAAGAAGCAUUACAAUUUGGAUAUACAACUCCCCAGAAAAAUAGAUGAAGCAAUUCACAUAGCGAUGAUUUGAUAGAGCCCAAGAUCACUGCAUUCCAGGAUAUUCAUGCUCUCAGGAAGUCUCUAUCUGCAGGGAAGGCUUUAGGUUCUUAGAGUGUUUUCUAGCAUUAUUGCCCUGUGGAUUAGAGGACUGUCUUUCAUAUGGAUCAUUUCAGCGGUCCAGUUUAUAGCACAUAAACAGUUAUAGUGCCAUAAGGAAGGGCCAGUUUUGCUUUGGGGCAUUGGGGACAGGGAAAAGAGGCAACUUCUUUAGACAGUGUUAGUAGGAAAGGCAGCUUCUUGUGGAUUAUAACUUCUGUGUUCUUUUCUCUUUUUUUUCACUCACCAACAGGCCUUUUCUGACAUCAAGAAGAUAUAAACACUCCCUGACUUCACCAGUUAUAAUUCUAGCCAACUCAUACAGUCAUUUGAACUCUCUAAGGGGCUUCAGAGGCACUUUAAAGCAAUGCUUUAUGCAGCUUAUAAGAAUUCAUCCUGAAGUAAAUCUAUUCCAUUUAAUUGGCAUGGGUAAUUACUAAUAGGGCAUGAAAGUAUUUGAAGUCAUUAAAACUCAAUGUGAGAAAUACACAUUAGCUAGAAGUGGGGAAAAUGUAUUUUUUUAUAAAUGCAAGGAAAUGUUUCAGACUUUGGUAUAUUUAACAUAGUAGAAAUAUUGAAGGAUUUCUCUCAAAAAAGGAUUUGAAAAGAAAGCAUGCCAGGAGCAUUUGCAACAAAACAGCACAUGGAGCAAAGUGUGCAGGUGAGCCUGAAGGCUGGUGCGAAGGGAUUGUCAAGUAGGAAGUACAAAAUGAAAUGAUCAGUGUCAAGUCUGACAGGCCAGAAUUGUGACCUCUCAGCUGUGGGCUCACAGAGGCACCCAACCACAUUGCAGUUUCCUCUUGCCAAGCCUGUCUGUCCUGCUUUGCAGUCAGCAGCCUCUUUCUCACAAUUUGCAAGGAUCUGCGUAGUUCUUAUGCAUUUCUAUGGUCUGCCAAACCACUGGAAUAGAGAAAAAAAGCCCAGAAACUGUACUAAUGGGAGUCACUUAGGACCUAGACAGCUGUGGAUCCCUCAGAAAAGAAUUGCAGAACACACAUUUAGAACAUGUCUCAAAUGUACAUUUACAGAGGCAUGUACAUAGCCAUUAACUUUAUGAAUUUAAAAGGCUUUUCAAUAAUAAAGGCAGUUAAUAACCUUGGCUGAAAAGUUUUUUGUAAAACAAACCCUACAUUUUAUUUGGAUGCACAUCAGAAUACUUAAAAAUAUUAUUUUGAUGUUACCUUUUGGUUUUAAUUUAGUAUGCGGAGCAAGAACAUGACUGGUUAGACCAAUGUACAGUAUUUCAGCUUAAUGUGUCAGGUAGUCAUAGUACUACAGACUUAGGAGAAAGUGCAAGAAAACAGAAGGAAAAUUAGAAAUUUUCCUUGCCUGACAAGAAGGUAAUGCAAAAGGGACAUUUUUGGAGAGAGGAUUCCUUGAUUCAGAUUUGAAAGUGAUGUGAUACAAUGUCAGCCAUUAUAUCUUACCAUUUAAGUAUUUAAAAACAACAUGAGCAGAAUUUCACUGCUUUAUGAAAAUUCAAAUACUCCUAAGUCCCAAGCACCAUAUGCAUAUACCUCUAUUUCAAAUUUCUUGGGCAUAGACAAUCUAUAAUAUGAAUUGCAAUUACAUGAUUAUAUAACUUUCUCCCCAGUUUCUGUGAAGUCUGGAAAAUCAGAGCACAACUCCGCACCUUCCUUUCUGCAAAUUGUUGUUCUCUAGCCCUGAAGAUAGGCAGAUGUGUUGCCAACGAGGUUGAUCUGGAGUGUUCAUCAGAACAGAAUGUUUCACAAACAGCAACAAAUGCAUUUUUACCCCUUUCCUGUAAGGUGAUAUUGUUAUCCCCAUUUUAUAGAUCAAAUAGCUAGCACCUGGCUUUCCAAUGUGUUUAGGAAGGAAUAGCUCUUCUUUUCCAGAAGCGCAUCUCCCCAGGAAUUCACUUGUAAUUGUGAAUACUUCUGCAAAUCAAGCCCCAGGCUCCCUGGAGUAAGGUUUAAGCAACACAUGAUAGCAUACACAGGCACUGCUAAUGGAAGAAGUAGAUCUGUUUACUCCACACUAUGCUCUUGGUUGCCUGUUCCUGCCCCUGUGCUGCCCCAACCUUUGCGCUGCACAGAUGUUCAUGUGACUCUACAGCUAACUCAGAGACCUGCUCCAGCUAGAAAGUAACCCAGCAGGAAAAAUAACCACUAGCAUUCAGACAGACCAGUUUCCUGAUCCAGUUUAGACUGUGGCCUCAUAAAUGUUUGAUACAAGAUAGGACAAAAUACAGGAACAGAAGCAAACAGCCAAGAUAGCAGGUAGGUAGGAUUCUUCACUCAAUGGCAGCAUCAGCUUGCUACAGAUAGAAGUGUUUGUUGAACCUCAGAAUUACGGCACAAACACAUGAGUUUUGUUCAAGCACUAGACUUGAAAGGAAAAGACAUGACUGCAAAAGAAUGUGGUAGCAGUAGAAAGGACAAAAUUUCAGUUCAGCUGCCCUUUUACCUGAAGACUACUGAAUUCUUUCUUUUUUGACUGCCUGUUUCCCUUGAGUCUUCCUUCUCUGUGAGACUGUGGGACUAUUCUUCACUGAUGGGGCUUACACACUGAGUUUAAAUGUAGUAUUUAAAUUGGCAUCUCUUCAUAGCUUUUCUGAGCACUUUCGGAAGGAGGUCCGUUUUAUUCUGCAAAUGAGUGUAAAAUUUAAGACAAGUGAGCUGGGAGGAGGAAAUGUGGUUUGAUUCUUACCCCAGGGGUUGUUUCUAUGUUUUUUGAAGAACAUAUUCUGGAUGAUAUUCAUAUAAAGUCCAAAGAGUCUCAGUACUGACUUUUACUCUCUGGCACCAGGAAUUCUUCCUUUCCUUUCUGGGAAAUGGCAAAAUUUCAGCAGUAGCCAUGGAGAACAUUCCCACCAAGAACAGCUCACAAUAGCAUGCUUUCAGCAUGUGCCUAGGAAGUGGAAUAAGUAGUUGGAGGUGGAUAUGGACCAGAGGGAAACAUAACCCAUGUGCUCUGUAUUCUAGGAAAGUUUAGUCCAGGCAGAAAAGAGCAGUAUCCCUUCUGUUGGCCGCAUCUCAAAAUGAAAGAGUGCCCUCUCAUUUCUACUUGUAACGAGCAUUUCUCUCCAGCAAAGGGUUCUGGGCUGUUCAUACUAAGGAAUGGAGGGUAUGAAAACCUGAUGUGGGAUCUAGAAUUUAUCAGAAGUGACUGAUAAAUUAAGAUCUCAUAAGACUGCUUUGUGCCAUCCAAACUUCAGUGGUCACCUUCCUCUUCUGUUGCUGUGUGUGUAUCAGGUUUCAGCUGCUUUGAAGUCUCACAGAUAUUUUGCCAAAGAGGCCUGCACUGAAACAGGAGGAUCCAACUUACAACUGCAACUGGAAUUCAGCUUAAGAACAAGUAGGAAACUGAAGUGGUCUUUAAAGGAUGACUGCAGUGAUCUGUAAAGGGAAAGUGUCAGGUAUAUACAAAGCUAUUUUUUCCUUUUAUUUUUGCAGCUUGUAUUUCAUAUUAAAGACAUGAAAGAGGGAGAAUUGCAGUCUUGUCUUGUGCCAUAGAAUUUCUUUACCAUGACUCUUCAACAUGUCAUAAAAGUUACAAAUACACAUCGCAAGAUAUUUAUUCACUAGUUAUGUUGUAAUGGUACCUGUAUCAGCCUAUACCUAUAGCCUGUAUAAUUGCAGAAACAAAGGAAUUACUUAAAGUAAAUCAAUGAGGAUGUGAGUACGAUGCAUUACUUUUUAGUAAUAUGAGUGCACCAAGAUAGAUUUAUUUUUUGCUGCUAAAGUAGAAAAUAGAAGGGUCUGGCCUAGCCCUUACUCUGCUAAAUCAUGAGAGCUUUGAGUGUAUCCUGUGGCCUGAAAACAAUAGUCUGUGGGAAGAUUCUCUUGCUACUUGAUAAACAUUUUCUUCUCAAGGGUCAAAUAUGCGGUCUUGCAUAUACAUCCUUUGUCAAG